GAUGAACGCUGGCGGCGUGCCUAAUACAUGCAAGUCGAGCGAACGGACGAGAAGCUUGCUUCUCUGAUGUUAGCGGCGGACGGGUGAGUAACACGUGGAUAACCUACCUAUAAGACUGGGAUAACUUCGGGAAACCGGAGCUAAUACCGGAUAAUAUUUUGAACCGCAUGGUUCAAAAGUGAAAGACGGUCUUGCUGUCACUUAUAGAUGGAUCCGCGCUGCAUUAGCUAGUUGGUAAGGUAACGGCUUACCAAGGCAACGAGGCAUAGCCGACCUGAGAGGGGGAUCGGCCACACUGGAACUGAGACACGGUCCAGACUCCUACGGGAGGCAGCAGUAGGGAAUCUUCCGCAGUGGGCGAAAGCCUGACGGAGCAACGCCGCGUGAGUGAUGAAGGUCUUCGGAUCGUAAAACUCUGUUAUUAGGGAAGAACAUAUGUGUAAGUAACUGUGCACAUCUUGACGGUACCUAAUCAGAAAGCCACGGCUAACUACGUG
rnacentral:rRNA from 1 species